ACAAGAGGGGCUGUUAAAAUAUGAGAAAAUACUGUUUCUCUACAAUGUUCUUAUAUAGAAUUUGUGAUGAUGGUAGCACUACUAAUAAUAUGAUACCACUCUCUAGGCUGAUGCUUUAACAAACAUGAACUUAAUAGCAUAGUUUAAAUGGUGAGCUUGCUUGUUUUAAGGUCUAGUAAUGGUACUACUAUACAUUUUGUGGAAUUAUAUACUUGUAAAUGCUAUGGAACUAGUGAUCAUGUGUGUUUGCUCGUCUUCCUUCAAUCAUGGGAAAGUUAAUAAAGUGAGUCUAUAAUUUUACUAGUAGACGGUUGACCAAGUGUAGGUAGUUUACUUCACUUGAUCAGCAUGCUCAAAUCUGUUCAAAUUUUUAGGAGAGUAAACAGGAACCACAAGAACGGAACCUAAACCAACAUCAGUCCAAUUUAAGAUACUUGGUUUUGUACGGAAUGAAGUUUAAUAGCAGUUUUCGGUCUUGGUUCAUACAAGAUGAUGUUUAUUGGCUUUGAUUGGUAACACAAUUUGAGGCGCUUGGAGCGGAGGUUGAACCGCUUCUUUGAUUACCAAUCGAACUGAUGGAACUCAUUGUUAGAAG